rnacentral:rRNA from 1 species
CAUAUCAAUAAGCGGAGGAAAAGAAACCAACAGGGAUUGCCCUAGUAACGGCGAGUGAAGCGGCAACAGCUCAAAUUUGAAAUCUGGCCCUAGCGGUCCGAGUUGUAAUUUGUAGAGGAUGCUUUUGGUUAGGUGCCUUCUGAGUUCCCUGGAACGGGACGCCAGAGAGGGUGAGAGCCCCGUACGGUUGGACACCGAGCCUCUAUAUAGCUCCUUCGACGAGUCGAGUAGUUUGGGAAUGCUGCUCUAAAUGGGAGGUAAAUUUCUUCUAAAGCUAAAUACCGGCCAGAGACCGAUAGCGCACAAGUAGAGUGAUCGAAAGAUGAAAAGUACUUUGAAAAGAGGGUUAAAUAGCACGUGAAAUUGUUGAAAGGGAAGCGUUUGCGACCAGACUUUUUCCAGGCGGAUCAUCCGGUGUUCUCACCGGUGCACUUCGCCUGGUUUAGGCCAGCAUCGGUUCUCUUAGGGGGAUAAAGGCCUGGGGAACGUAGCUCCUUCGGGAGUGUUAUAGCCCCUUGCGUAAUACCCUUCGGGGGACCGAGGAACGCGCAUCUGCAAGGAUGCUGGCGUAAUGGUCGUCAACGACCCGUCUUGAAACACGGACCAAGGAGUCGAACAUUUGUGCGAGUGUUUGGGUGUUAAACCCUCACGCGUAAUGAAAGUGAACGGAGGUGAGAGCCCUUCGGGGUGCAUCAUCGACCGAUCCUGAUGUCUUCGGAUGGAUUUGAGUAAGAGCAUAACUGUUCGGACCCGAAAGAUGGUGAACUAUGCGUGGAUAGGGUGAAGCCAGAGGAAACUCUGGUGGAGGCUCGCAGCGGUUCUGACGUGCAAAUCGAUCGUCAAAUCUGCGCAUGGGGGCGAAAGACUUAUCGAACCAUCUAGUAGCUGGUUACCGCC